rnacentral:rRNA from 1 species
GAUGAACGCUGGCGGCGUGCCUAAUACAUGCAAGUCGAGCGAACAGACGAGGAUCUUGCUCCUCUGACGUUAGCGGCGGACGGGUGAGUAACACGUGGAUAACCUACCUAUAAGACUGGGAUAACUUCGGGAAACCGGAGCUAAUACCGGAUAAUAUAUUGAACCGCAUGGUUCAAUAGUGAAAGACGGUUUUGCUGUCACUUAUAGAUGUAUCCGCGCCGCAUUAGCUAGUUGGUAAGGUAACGGCUUACCAAGGCGACGAUGCGUAGCCGACCUGAGAGGGUGAUCGGGCACACUGGAACUGAGACACGGUCCAGACUCCUACGGGAGGCAGCAGUAGGGAAUCUUCCGCAAUGGGCGAAAGCCUGACGGAGCAACGACGCGUGAGUGAUGAAGGUCUUCGGAUCGUAAAACUCUGUUAUUAGGGAAGAACAAAUGUGUAAGUAACUAUGCACGUCUUGACGGUACCUAAUCAGAAAGCCACGGCUAACUACGUG